UGUCUUCAAGAAAGAAUACAGCCCCUGGU
rnacentral:sRNA from 1 species